rnacentral:tRNA from 1 species
GCCCAGAUGGCGGAAUUGGUAGACGCACUGCUUUCAGGUAGCAGCGCUCGCAAGGGCGUGGAGGUUCGAGUCCUCUUCUGGGCACCA